GCUAAGAUAGUUUAUGUUUAGAAUUUGUAACUUGUAAUUACAAGGUUAUUUAUUAGCA
rnacentral:tRNA from 1 species